GACCGCUGUAUUGGUGCUUUCUUAAUAUUGGAAAAUUACAGAGAAGACUCGCAUGGCCUCUGCACAAGGGUAGCAUGCAAAUUCACGAAGCAAUAGGGGAGCAC